rnacentral:rRNA from 1 species
CACGUAGGGGGCAAGCGUUGUCCGGAAUCAUUGGACGUAAAGCGCGUGUAGGCGGUUCGGUAAGUCUGCUGUGAAAGUCGGGGGCUCAACCCUCGAAUGCCGGUGGAUACUGUCGGACUAGAGUGCGGAAGAGGCGAGUGGAAUUCCUGGUGUAGCGGUGAAAUGCGCAGAUAUCAGGAGGAACACCAAUUGCGAAGGCAGCUCGCUGGGACGUUACUGACGCUGAGACGCGAAAGCGUGGGGAGCAAACAGG